AACGAGCGCUGGCGGCAUGCCUAACACAUGCAAGUCGAACGAGACCUUCGGGUCUAGUGGCGCACGGGUGCGUAACGCGUGGGAACCUGCCCUUAGGUUCGGAAUAACUCCCCGAAAGGGGUGCUAAUACCGGAUAAUGUCUUCGGACCAAAGAUUUAUCGCCUUUGGAUGGGCCCGCGUUGGAUUAGCUAGUUGGUAGGGUAAAAGCCUACCAAGGCGACGAUCCAUAGCUGGUCUGAGAGGAUGAUCAGCCACACUGGGACUGAGACACGGCCCAGACUCCUACGGGAGGCAGCAGUGGGGAAUAUUGGACAAUGGGCGCAAGCCUGAUCCAGCAAUGCCGCGUGAGUGAUGAAGGCCUUAGGGUUGUAAAGCUCUUUUACCCGGGAUGAUAAUGACAGUACCGGGAGAAUAAGCUCCGGCUAACUCCGUG
rnacentral:rRNA from 1 species